rnacentral:lncRNA from 1 species
UUCAGUUCUAGCGUUGAUUGGAUUGUGUUUUGUUGUCCCCCAGGGUUUCACUGGAGUUACUGACAUAGCCGGUGGGUACUCUGCCUGGAGACAUAAUGGACUUCAUACAGAAUAGUUGUUCCGUAGACUUCUCUUGUGUACACACAUAGUUUUGAGAAGUAAAUAACAAUGCUAAGCAGCAUUUAGUUGUUAGUCUGAAGCAAUCAGUUGUAAUCAAGCAGAA